rnacentral:misc_RNA from 1 species
UUUACCGGCGUCGGGGAGUAGCCGCCCGCCGCACGCGCGGCGGCGGGUCCGGCGGCCGUCAGCACGGAGCCGCGAGGGCUCCCGGCCGUCCGGCGGCGCGCGAGGGCGCGGCAGGAGAGAGGGCGAGACCGCGGUCGUGAGA